GAGUUUCCCAACGGUGCAGUCUCUACUCACCGCAACCUCUGCCUCCCGGGUUCAAGCAAUUCUCCUGCCUCAUUCUCUUGGGUAGCUGGGAUUACAAGCAUGCGCCACCACUCCCAGCUAAUUUUGUAUUUUUAGUAGAGAUGGGGUUUCUCCAUGUUGGUCAGGCUGGUCUCGAACUCCUGACCUCAGGUGAUCCGCCCAGCUCAGCUUCCCAAAGUCCUGGGAUUCCAGGCAUAAGCCACUGCGCCUGGCCUGUUUCUAUUUUCUUUUGCCAGGCAGGUUAUGUUAUACUGGGGUUUCUUGCUGAGGUCUGUCCUGGGACUGUCUGAGGUGUCACAAAGAGCCCACAGGUACAGACGAGAAAUUUGAAAGUGAAUCCAGACGCAGCAGAUGACAGCAAGAUGGGACUCCAAGUUCUCUUUCUAGAAAUUACAAGCUGCUCCGCUACCCACACAUGUAGCUCAUUCUCCCUGUGGCCAAGACACUCCUGUGCCUGAGGGAAAGGCAAUGCCUGCGGCAGAAACGGAGCGGUCCCCCAGCCAGGGGAGAGAGUGGCACCUAGUAUGGUACCCAAUGCUCUAAGGCAUGGAGCUGAUUGACUGCUGACUGUAGACCAGCCACUCACCACAGUGUAGGUUGGAAGCCUUCUAAGGCCGUGCGUUCUGCAGAGUCAGCCCAUGAUGGGGCCAGGAGUGUGGGCUCCAGUGUCACCCCCUUGGGAUUUAAUCCUGGCUGCACCUCUGGGGGCCUUGGGAGAGUAUAAGGGAAAGAAAUAGUCCCUUCCUUUCUUUGGAGAGAAGGAAUCCACAAGCUGGAAGGAGGGACCCUGGCACGAAGAAAGGCACAGGCCCCUCCAUAACUUGUUUCUACCACUCCCCUUUGAGGGCCCCUGGGGAAGGUUGGUUAGUCUUGAAUCUGUGCCCAGGAGAAACCAAAAAUCCUUAGUGGGGUUUCUCCCUGUCCUAGGCCUCCUGUCAGAGCUAGCGGAGAUCUGCUGGAAGGAGGCCGGGAGGAGGGGAUGUACGGAUGCCAUCAUGCCUGGAUGGAGGACCAGAAGGUCUUUAUAACAAGUAUUUGUGGAGCUCCUAAUAUGUGCCAAACUGUGGUAGACCUGGAUACCCAGAAACACGGCCACUCCCCUAAAGGAGGUUGCAGGCUAUACCAAUUAAAAUAAUUAUCUCAGUCCCUUCUUAUCAACAGAGUCGUCCAUGGAGACUAUUUCUCCCCCUGCCCCAGGCACACAGAAGCCUUGAGGCUUUCAUUGUGGCCCCACGGUGACAGCACACCCAGGUGGCACUCUCAGCUUAUCACUGAUUUGCAGAGCUGCUGUCUUGCAGCUAAAAGCAAUGUGCUGGUGGAUUUUUAAAAAGAAGUUCUGAGAGGCUUCUUAGAAGGUCUUUCUCCACAUCACUAACUAUUCGGAUUCCGGAGCACGGUGCCAAGCCCCUCCAUUUACUGCAGCCUUGCCCUUCCUCUCAAGAUCCAGCCGCUAAUGCUAUGGGAUGGCUGGUGGCCCCACUUGGGCUCCCCCAACCCCCACCUCGACCCCUAGCUUCCGCCUGUUUGGAGCUGUUAUCAGAGGAAACAGACUUGAACAUGACGGAGUUGCUGUCUCUUGGGCCUGACCAGAGAGUUGUGUUUUCUUGGCCUAUAUCACCUCAGAUUUAUCCUCGGCCUGACCGCAGUCAUUAUCAGCUAAAUUCACCAUCUCUAGAUGCCCAGAAGAUUUCAAAAGUGGACUAUAGGCUGCCAGUUGGUGUUAGAGUUCAGAGAAUCCCUGGACUUCAGCACUAGAAAGGAGCAGCUGCUAUGUCGGGGGUGUCAGGGGCUGGAUGCAGGGGCUGUUGCACUGAUCCCAGCUUGCUCCAUUCACAAGCCCCUCAUCCAUCUCUGAAGACUGGGACCAAAGCCAGGGCUGGGGCAGGCCUCUCUGGGCACAGGGGCCUGUUAGCAUUGGUUUCA
rnacentral:lncRNA from 1 species